rnacentral:rRNA from 1 species
GAUGAACGCUGGCGGCGUGCCUAACACAUGCAAGUCGAGCGAACCCUUCGGGGUGAGCGGCGGACGGGUGAGUAACGCGUGGGUAACCUGCCCUGUACACACGGAUAACAUACCGAAAGGUAUGCUAAUACGAGAUAAUAUAUUUUAAUCGCAUGGUUAAGAUAUCAAAGCUCCGGCGGUACAGGAUGGACCCGCGUCUAAUUAGCUAGUUGGUGAGGUAAUGGCUCACCAAGGCGACGAUCAGUAGCCGACCUGAGAGGGUGAUCGGCCACACUGGAACUUAGACACGGUCCAGACUCCGACGGGAGGCAGCAGUGGGGAAUAUUGCACAAUGGGCGAAAGCCUUAUGCAGCAACGCCGCGUGAGCGAUGAAGGCCUUCGGGUCGUAAAGCUCUGUCCUCAAGGAAGAUAAUGACGGUACUUGAGGAGGAAGCCCCGGCUAACUACGUGCCAGCCGCCGCCGUAA